GACGGAGAAGAGUGUUGAGAGUCCUGGGGUGACAACACCUGGGUCCCCUGCUCACCUGAGCCACAGACUCGCCAGGCAGCUGCUCCCAACCCCAGAACCUUUGCUGUCUUGGGACGGAUCACCGCUGCAAGAGGGGAAGUUGCUACUGUGAUGAAUUCUGCCAUGUGGCACCAGACUGCCACCCAGACCACAGUGUCCUCUGCAACCCUGGUAACUCACAUACAGGCCCGAUUCCACCUACAGCAAAGCUGGAUGCGAUGGCUGGCAGAGGCAAACCCUUUGCCUGCACUUCAGGCCAAAGCCGGGAUGUGGCCUAGAUGGUUCCUAAGGUCCCUGACAAUCCUGAGAUCUUGCAUCUUGUCUAUUUCAGGUCAAAGGUGCCUACAUGCUCCUUCUAGCUUUGUUUCCCUGAUGUUCCUUGCCACCUGCUACUCCUCUCUGAGCUACUUUUCCAGGUUCCACAGGGAGAGGUUCAGCUGUCCGUGGUAGACAUGAGGGUAGAGAAUGAGGUGGUUGGGUUCCACUUACCUUUCUAUCAUCUUGCAGUAUGGAUGUCUCUUGACUGGUACCGUGUAGACUUUUGAGGGCACACAGGAGUCUGCAGAGAGAUACUGGGGACAUUGAGCAGCAGCAGUGGGGUUGGGAGGCAGAAAUGAGGACAGGAACAUUUACCUUGUGUUUCUCUCAGCUUCUCAGAUGACCAAGAUGGUGCUGCAGAUGGUGCUGAGGAUGGAGAACCCACCAAG
ensembl:lncRNA MUC20-OT1 MUC20 overlapping transcript